UAAUACGGAGGGGGCGAGCGUUAUUCGGAAUUAUUGGGCGUAAAGGGCGCGUAGGCGGCUUGUCAAGUCAAAGGUGAAAUCCCUCGGCUCAACUGAGGAACUGCCUUUGAAACUAGCGAGCUUGAGGCCGGGAGGGGGUAGCGGAAUUCCCAGUGUAGCGGUGAAAUGCGUAGAUAUUGGGAGGAACACCAGUGGCGAAGGCGGCUACCUGGACCGGUUCUGACGCUGAGGCGCGAAAGCGUGGGUAGCAAACAGGA
rnacentral:rRNA from 1 species